UAGCAGUGAAGAAACUUUGCGUUUGAUGUGAUGGUAGGGUCCAUCACAAACGUCUGAUUCUUCGGACGAAAAAAAUGCAUCUGAGCUU